CACUCCUGCGGGAGGCAGCAGUGGGGAAUAUUGGACAAUGGGCGCAAGCCUGAUCCAGCCAUGCCGCGUGAGUGAUGAAGGCCCUAGGGUUGUAAAGCUCUUUCACCGGAGAAGAUAAUGACGGUAUCCGGAGAAGAAGCCCCGGCUAACUUCGUGCCAGCAGCCGCGGUAAUACGAAGGGGGCUAGCGUUGUUCGGAAUUACUGGGCGUAAAGCGCACGUAGGCGGAUCGAUCAGUCAGGGGUGAAAUCCCAGGGCUCAACCCUGGAACUGCCUUUGAUACUGUCGAUCUGGAGUAUGGAAGAGGUGAGUGGAAUUCCGAGUGUAGAGGUGAAAUUCGUAGAUAUUCGGAGGAACACCAGUGGCGAAGGCGGCUCACUGGUCCAUUACUGACGCUGAGGUGCGAAAGCGUGGGGAGCAAACAGGAUUAGAAACCCUGGUAGUCCC
rnacentral:rRNA from 1 species